rnacentral:misc_RNA from 1 species
AAAAAAGAAAGAUCAACAUCUAAAAUAUCAAUAACCAUGGUUACGGUUAUGCUUUUCCCAAAACACAUUAUUUAUCUUUUUAGCAAGAAAUACAAAUCCUCUUUUCAUUCCAAUAGCUUGUAACCAAGAAGUUCAUUUGGACCAAUCUUUGUCAGUGUCCAAUACAAUAUAUUGAGAAUUUAUCUUUUUUAUUUUAUCCUAAAUCUGUUGUAUUAGAGUUAGUUUUCAUUUUAAUUGUAUUUCCGCACUGCAUCCUAGGUGCUUAUAAAGCCGUGGGGGAUGUGAGAUAAAACGUGUGUUUUAUAUUAAUUUUAAUUUAUCUUUGGUUUAAGGGAUGGCAGUGGUCCUUGUAGUAAACCCUUGGGAGGCAGUGAGUGUGUUUUGGUUCUGCAGUAUAGAGAAAAUUUCUUGAUUUGUUUUAUGUUCGUUUUAUGGAACCCGCAUUGGGAAAACCUCUGGUUGUUGAUUUUGUGUUGCCUAACAUAUUGUUUCUUUAUUUUGUAGAAUAUUCAUCAAGGAUGUCAAA